rnacentral:lncRNA from 1 species
UCUAAUUUGAUUCUGGGUUACUAUCAACAUCCCUUCUUUCUCACCCAUUAUAAUUGAAUCAAUAUAUUGUAACCUGGAAUUUGGUUUUCUAAGAAUAAAAGCUGCCAUCCCUUUAUACACUCCUUGAAUCCUUCCUCUUCUGCAACAGGACACUUGACGACGAAGACCAGCAGCAGUUUGUCGGCCCAUUUAGGACACUGAUCCAAUCUUUUGCCCAACUUCAACCCCUCCCUCUUUUAACAUGGUGAUCUUGGUACAAUGGUAAGUACCACGCCCCCAGCUAGAGAUCGCGAGCCGGAGGUCCGCGCCAACUGCCGCACAUCCGUAGGAAACUCUUUCCACGAGCAUGCAAGGCACCUUAGCCAAAUCUCAAAAAUGUAACUAAAAUAAUUCAGCUGAAAUAAAUGCAAUUUUAUUCCAUUGACUAACUCGAGUCAUAAAGUCUCACGGUUCUAAAUACGCAGCGGAACAAUAAAGAUAAAACAUCAAUUUAAAUAAAUCCUAAUCUAAGAUAACUUGUGCCACAGUUUUUCUAGUUGCUCUUCCAUUUUGAAACCCCGAUAGGUUAGUUCUCGGAAUAUGUAAAACAACAAGAAAUUGUAUAAUGAGCUAGACAGCCCAGUAAAUAAUAAACACCUUAACUAGUUAAAUCAUAUAAUAACAUAAAAUAUAAAUUACAAAUUACAAUGAAUCAACAUAAUAACAUAAUCAAUUCAUUUUCAAACACAAAUUCAUUGAAAUCUAUAUCUUUCAAAUAUCCAUAAGCAUAAUCGUAAAUCUAAUUCGAAACAAAUCACAUUCAUCUCAACAGCCUUUAACUACGACUACACUUAUACCCUGUGGGUAUGCUAGAAACAGAACCGCACUUAUACCCUGCGGAGUGGGCCAGAAUACCCCAUUUAUACCCAGUGGUGGGGCCAGAAUUGCCAAUGCAUAACCUCCAAUUGGCAUGGUCCAAAACAUAGUCAGGCUAAGAGUUCCAAAUCUGAUGUACAUCAAAAUUCUUUUAGUAACAUAAUAGAUAUAUCAUAAUCCGAUCUAAAUAUGCAUAUACGAUGCAAGAGCAGUAAAUAUAAUAAUAGUCCGAAAAAUAUUAUUCCAAUUCACAUAUUUAUUUUUCAUUCAAAUCAUCAUCUCGUAAAAUUCAUAAAUCACAUAUAAAUUCAUUAACAAGUUAUUCAAUACAAAAAUAAUAUUAUAUAAAUGAAGAGUCUAGAGAAGGCAGUUCAUUAUUUACUUCGAACGCGAUCCACAACAAUUCCAAUUAAUUUCACAAAUUCCUCGCAGAACCUAAUAUCCAAAAAUAAUAUUUUUCUUUUUAAAAUUCACACAAUAUAUAUAAAACUUAAAUUUUAACAUUCUUCCAGAGCUGAUCCUGCAGAGGUGUCUAGCACCCCGAGUUCGGGUUCAGAUUCGGGUUCAUACCCGUAAACCACCCUCUUCCCUUUAUUUUAUUAUUAUUAUUUUCUUUUCUUUCUUUCUUUCCUUCCUUUUUCUUUUCUUUUCUUUUCUUUCCUUCUCUUUUCUUUUCUUUUCUUUUUCUUUUCUUUUCUUCUCUUCUUCUCCAAAGCUUCUCCCGACUUCUUCUCCUUCCUCUCUUUUCUUUCUUCUUUCUUCUUCUCUUUCUCCCGCGAAUGGAGGUCGGCGAGUUUGGAAGAGGUCAAGUCGAGGAGGCCGGCUCUCUCCUUCUUCCCGCGGAGGAGGUAUGCGCACAGGAGAAGAGGAAAAGCCCGCGACGAUCAACCUUCUCCUUCUUCCCUCUCCUCUUCUUUCUUUCUCCUUCCACUAUUCCUUCUCUGUUUUCACUGAACAGAGAAGAGGAACAAGGGAUGGGGGUGCUCUUCGGUCCUCAAGAUGACCGCCACUGAGGGCCGGCGGUGCCUGUGGCCGAAGGCAUGCUGACUGCCACGGGUGCCUCCCCCUCCUUUUCCUUCUCUCUUCUUCUUCUUCUUCUUCUAUUUUAUCAAAUGGUAUAACAAAGGGGUGAGGCUAGGAAUCCUUACCACAGCUCCAGUGAAGAUCCGACGGCUUCCUUCCAGCAGCGAACAGAAGAAGAAAACCACCCGGAAAAAAAAUCCGCCUUCGACGGCUCCUUCUCUCUCUCUCUCUCUCUCNCUCUCUCUCUCUCUCUCNNNNNNNNNNNNNNNNNNNNUCUCUCUCUCUCUCUCUCUCUCUCUCUCUCUCUCUCUCACAGGCGGCUGCACGUUGGGGUCUGGUGGCCUUUUCUUCCGGUGGUCUUAAAGGGGAGGAUGAAGCCCUAAAAAUAGGGGAGCCGGCUUCUUCGGGAUGGCUCCCCCCCCUCACGCGCCCUCACGUGCGACGCAUGUGAGGUUGAAAUUGGUGCUGGGCCGAUCAAAGGACCGGGCCCAGUUUCAGGGUUUCACAGUAAGUUUGUUUCAUUGUGACUUGAGUGUCACCAGUUCAAAAAAUAGAAAUAGCGAGAGAAAUUUGUUUCUCAUUUUUGUUCCUUCUUUUAACCAGUAUAACUUGUUUCUCCUUUUCCACUGAUUAAGAAUUGGUGGAGGCAAUAAAGUUCCUGUUCCUUUAUUCAAUAGUUCUUGUUCAUUGUUAUUAUUUUUUGAAUGUUUCUAGUUUAUAUAUGGAUCUAUGUUAUAUGCUGCUAAAUAACUUUCCAUCCACCUUAUCCUUUUUAACUUAUAAUUUUUUUUUCCGGAAUGCUUGCCAACUUUCUCAGAUACGAUUCAGACUAAUUCAAGAAACUCAGAUGUUUAAAACUUUCCAACUUUUAUUAAUAUGAUCUAUUGUGAUGGUUGAAAAAAAACUGUUCAUCAUCAUCAUCACAUUUCAUGAAAUUGCUUCUAAUUUCUAUUCCCUUCUCAAGGACAUUAAAUUUCAUUACGAACAAUUCUGACUUCUACUAUCGGUAAAUCUCCAUUGGGCUUAUCCUUAUUUACUUCACAGGACCACCACAACUUUUUUCUUGUUUAUAACAAAUGCAAAGUUAUCCUAUCUUUAGGAUUAAAAGAGUGUGGAAGAUAGAUUAGGAAAAGAAACCAGGCGUAUUGCACUUUGAUUAUAUUUUUUGAAGGUUGCUGAGAAUGAUUGGCUGGUAGGUGUUGUUUAAUGGCAUGCAUGUUUGUUUAUGUUAGUCCAUUAAUUUAUUUAGGUAGAAUUUGGAGAGAUGUAACUCCCAUUUGCCUAUCGUCAGAGUUACAUGGGUGCGCAACUACUGGAUUCCAGUUGCGAGGAUU